UACAUGGGGUGCAAACGUUGCUCGGAAUUAUUGGGCGUAAAGCGCACGUAGGCGGUCCGUUAAGUCGGAUGUGAAAGCCCCCGGCUCAACCGGGGAAGUGCAUCCGAAACUGGCGGGCUAGAGUACGAAAGAGGGUCGCGGAAUUCCCGGUGUAGAGGUGAAAUUCGUAGAUAUCGGGAGGAACACCGGUGGCGAAGGCGGCGACCUGGGUCGAUACUGACGCUGAGGUGCGAAAGCGUGGGGAGCGAACAGG
rnacentral:rRNA from 1 species